UACAGUAAGCGUAGUUAAAAAUGGUCCGUUGGUUAAAAAGUGGUUCGUUAAAACGAGAAAUGCCUACAGAAAUAAUGGACUCAAAGAUGUGCUUGAUGGAAACAUAGUGGUAGAUGUAAAUGCGGAACUGGAGCAUAAGAUAUCUGAAAACACUUGCAACAUAACACAUGACAAAGGCAACAAGUGGAUAAAAUCACUUCUUGUUGGUGAAGCACACUCCACCCAACAUCUUGGACUACAUUGGUGAUUUCUUGCGUGCAGAAAUAUCUUAAGUUCUUUGACAUAAAUGUGUGAAGGAAAUUGAAGCAAACAUAGCAAUGAGAUUCAAUGUGAGAGUCAAAUGCCCUAAGAGGGCUUCUGUGACACAUGCUAUUGAAAAAUGUAAUAGUAUGUUCUGGGAACUGCACAUAAUUAUAAAUGCACACAUCUUCAUUGUGGAACAUCAUAUUUUCUAAUCCAAA